rnacentral:rRNA from 1 species
GACGAACGCUGGCGGCGUGCCUAAUACAUGCAAGUAGAACGCUGAAGAGAGGAGCUCGCUCUUCUUGGAUGAGUUGCGAACGGGUGAGUAACGCGUAGGUAACCUGCCUUGUAGCGGGGGAUAACUAUUGGAAACGAUAGCUAAUACUGCAUAACAAUGGAUGACACAUGUCAUUUAUUUGAAAGGGGCAAUUGCUCCACUACAAGAUGGACCUGCGUUGUAUUAGCUAGUAGGUGAGGUAACGGCUCACCUAGGCGACGAUACAUAGCCGACCUGAGAGGGUGAUCGGCCACACUGGGACUGAGACACGGCCCAGACUCCUACGGGAGGCAGCAGUAGGGAAUCUUCGGCAAUGGGGGCAACCCUGACCGAGCAACGCCGCGUGAGUGAAGAAGGUUUUCGGAUCGUAAAGCUCUGUUGUAAGUCAAGAACGAGUGUGAGAGUGGAAAGUUCACACUGUGACGGUAGCUUACCAGAAAGGGACGGCUAACUACGUGCCAGCAGCCGCGGUAAUACGUAGGUCCCGAGCGUUGUCCGGAUUUAUUGGGCGUAAAGCGAGCGCAGGCGGUUUGAUAAGUCUGAAGUUAAAGGCUGUGGCUCAACCAUAGUUCGCUUUGGAAACUGUCAAACUUGAGUGCAGAAGGGGAGAGUGGAAUUCCAUGUGUAGCGGUGAAAUGCGUAGAUAUAUGGAGGAACACCGGUGGCGAAAGCGGCUCUCUGGUCUGUAACUGACGCUGAGGCUCGAAAGCGUGGGGAGCGAACAGG